rnacentral:rRNA from 1 species
UGGGGAAUAUUGCACAAUGGGGAAAGACCCUGAUGCAGCGACGCCGCGUGAGCGAUGAAGUAUUUCGGUAUGUAAACUUCUAUCAGCAGGGAAGAAAAUGACGGUACCUGACUAAGAAGCCCCGGCUAACUACGUGCCAGCAGCCGCGGUAAUACGUAGGGGCGAAGCGUUAUCCGGAUUUACUGGGUGUAAAGGGAGUGUAGACGGCAUGGCAAGUCUGAAGUGAAAGCCCGGGGCUCAACCCGGCAGCUGUUGGAAUGACUGUCAGGCUAGAGUGCUGGAGAGGUAAGUGGAAUUCCUAGUGUAGCGGUGAAAUGCGUAGAUAUUAGGAGGAACACCAGUGGCGAAGGCGGCUUACUGGACAGUGACUGACGUUGAGGCUCGAAAGCGUGGGGAGCAAACAGGAUUAGAUACCC